rnacentral:tRNA from 1 species
AACAGCAUGGCGCAGUGGUAUUGCGCGGGCCCAAUAACCCCGAGGUCACUUGAUUGAAACAAGUUGCUGCUA